CGAACUCUUCGGAGUUAGUGGCAGACGGGUGAGUAACGCGUGGGAACCUACCUUUAGGUACGGAACAACAGUUGGAAACGACUGCUAAUACCGUAUGAGCCCUAUGGGGGAAAGAUUUAUCGCCUAAGGAUGGGCCCGCGUUGGAUUAGCUAGUUGGUGGGGUAAAGGCCUACCAAGGCGACGAUCCAUAGCUGGUCUGAGAGGAUGAUCAGCCACACUGGGACUGAGACACGGCCCAGACUCCUACGGGAGGCAGCAGUGGGGAAUAUUGGACAAUGGGCGCAAGCCUGAUCCAGCCAUGCCGCGUGAGUGAAGAAGGCCUUCGGGUUGUAAAGCUCUUUCAGACGUGAAGAUGAUGACGGUAACGUCAGAAGAAGCCCCGGCUAACUUCGUGCCAGCAGCCGCGGUAAUACGAAGGGGGCAAGCGUUGUUCGGAAUUACUGGGCGUAAAGCGCGCGUAGGCGGCGUCGUCAGUCAGAGGUGAAAUCCCAGGGCUCAACCUUGGAAUUGCCUUUGAUACUGCGAUGCUUGAGUUCGAGAGAGGGUGGCGGAAUACCCAGUGUAGAGGUGAAAUUCGUAGAUAUUGGGUAGAACACCAGUGGCGAAGGCGGCCACCUG
rnacentral:rRNA from 1 species